rnacentral:rRNA from 1 species
GGCUCAGGAUGAACGCUAGCGGCAGGCUUAACACAUGCAAGUCGAGGGGCAGCAUGAAGGUUAGCAAUAACCUUUGAUGGCGACCGGCGCAAGGGUGCGUAACGCGUGAGCAACUUGCCCGUUUCUGGGGAAUAACCGGUGGAAAACGCCGACUAAUACCCCAUAGUAUCAUUAUUAGGCAUCUUUUAAUGAUUAAAGAAUUUCGGAAACGGAUAGGCUCGCGUGACAUUAGCUAGAUGGCGGGGUAACGGCCCACCAUGGCUACGAUGUCUAGGGGUUCUGAGAGGAAGGUCCCCCACACUGGAACUGAGACACGGUCCAGACUCCUACGGGAGGCAGCAGUGAGGAAUAUUGGUCAAUGGUCUGACGACUGAACCAGCCAUGCCGCGUGAAGGUCACGGCCCUAUGGGUCUUAAACUUCUUUUGUAAGGGAGCAAUAAGUCCUACGUGUAGGAUGAUGAGAGUACCUUACGAAUAGGCAUCGGCUAACUCCGUG